rnacentral:rRNA from 1 species
AGAGUUUGAUCCUGGCUCAGGAUGAACGCUAGCUACAGGCUUAACACAUGCAAGUCGAGGGGCAGCAUGGAAGAAGCUUGCUUCUUCUGAUGGCGACCGGCGCACGGGUGCGUAACGCGUAUCAAACCUGCCUCAUACUCGGGGAUAGCCUUGCGAAAGUAAGAUUAAUACCCGAUGUUGUUAUGUUACCGCAUGGUGAUAUAACCAAAGAUUUAUCGGUAUGAGAUGGUGAUGCGUCCGAUUAGGUAGUAGGCGGGGUAACGGCCCACCUAGCCUUCGAUCGGUAGGGGUUCUGAGAGGAAGGUCCCCCACACUGGAACUGAGACACGGUCCAGACUCCUACGGGAGGCAGCAGUGAGGAAUAUUGGUCAAUGGACGCAAGUCUGAACCAGCCAAGUAGCGUGCAGGAUGACGGCCCUCUGGGUUGUAAACUGCUUUUAGUUGGGAAUAAAAAAGAGGACGUGUCCUCUAUUGUAUGUACCUUCAGAAAAAGGACCGGCUAAUUCCGUGCCAGCAGCCGCGGUAAUACGGAAGGUCCAGGCGUUAUCCGGAUUUAUUGGGUUUAAAGGGAGCGUAGGCGGAUUAUUAAGUCAGUGGUGAAAGACGGUGGCUCAACCAUCGUUAGCCAUUGAAACUGGUAGUCUUGAGUGCAGACAGGGAUGCUGGAACUCGUGGUGUAGCGGUGAAAUGCUUAGAUAUCACGAUGAACUCCAAUCGCGAAGGCAGGUGUCCGGGCUGCAACUGACGCUGAGGCUCGAAAGUGUGGGUAUCAAACAGGAUUAGAUACCCUGGUAGUCCACACAGUAAACGAUGUAUACUCGCGGUUUGCGAUAUAAUGUAAGCCGCCAAGCGAAAGCAUUAAGUAUACCACCUGGGGAGUACGCCGGCAACGGUGAAACUCAAAGGAAUUGACGGGGGCCCG